ACUUCUUCCUCUCUUCAGGUCACUGAUUUCUCUCUUCCUUCCAGUUCAGAGAAUUCAAACUAGUGAAAUCAACUCUCUACCACCUCUUCACAGCCUCUCCUUCUGGAAGAAUUCAAGGUUUAUCUGGGUCUAGCAAGAGUCAACAAGCCCAUGUAAUGUGCCUGGCUAGUAGAAGAUACAUCCUGGGACGAAGGCUAUAAAUCUCACUACUAUUACCUACCUACCUUUUCAACUGGAGCUAAAGGUGGAAGUCAAAGAAAGAAGCAAUUUUGGCUAAGAACUCAAGGAUGCAGGCCUAUUUGAACUCCAGAAGAGACCAGAAGACUUCCUCUACCUCAUAAAAUGACCUAGACUCACCCAGUUUUCUGUCUACCUGUGAGCAUAGAUUCCAUUCAUUCACUUGGGGAGACUCUGUAGACUAUACUUUCUGGAAACGCUAAGAUUCAAGACAAGUCUCGUGAUGCUCAUCUUUUGGGUCUUCGUUCGUGUGAACCAAUUCCCUAACACCAUCUCUCGCUUUAUCAUCGUUGUCAUUGUCAGCAGCAGCAGUACUGUCAUCGUCAUCAACAGUAGCAGCAUCAAAACACACAACCGUGACUUCAUCUUACUUGAAUGAGCCUUUGCUUAGCACCAGCGAUGCACACUUCAGUUCGUCUUGCUCUACUGAAGACCUGGCACACAUAUUAAAAAGGCAAGAUUCACUUUGGGGAGGGAGGUGAAUAAAGAAACAACACUUUAAAAAGGGGGAAACCUGGACCAAGAACCCACAACAGUUUUUCAAAUUCACCUGGAAGAGAAGAGAUGUGGUCUGUCCUCAUUGUGAUUCUUGACAGGACUUACCCAUAAAACAACUUCUAAUAAAGGAAUCUCCAAACGAACGGUUCUUUAGAGACCA